GGGCUUAUAGCUCAGUGGUAGAGCAGUGGUCUUUUAAGCCAUAUGUCACAGGUUCGAUUCCUGUUAAGUCCUA
rnacentral:tRNA from 1 species